AUUUUUUAUCAUAUUCAGUCCAAGAAACAAGGGAAUAGCACUUGUCCAUGUCCUUGAAUUCAUGACUGAAAUCUGGUCCGUCAUGAUGCUUUAAUGAUGUGUGAAUGUAUUGAGACAUAGGGAAUGACUCUAAUUCAUGCUGAAUUAUUAAGCCUCUUGCCUUGACAAAAUGAUUUGUGUCAUGAUUUACUGAGUUGGCUGAGAUGGCCAAGCUUCUAACCGAUGCUGCAACCUCAUGCUUCCAUAGCUUGUCCACCAAAGAGUCUAACUUGGAGUCUACAACAAUUAAGCCAUCAUGCACCAUCCUGCAAGGAAUCAAUUCGUGAGAAUGAAUCAAGUUUAACAGUUACAAAAAAAGGAAAAUGUAAAAGCUAAAAGGUUUCUUUACGCCAAAAGUGAUAGAGGAGAGAUGAAUAUGGAGGCUGGGGAAAAUUAGUAGAAGAAGAUGAUAAAAGCUAAUGUAUGAGACAGAGUGUUACAACUUUGUGAAUUAACUCAAAGAUGAGAUAUAAUUUUUUAAAUGAGAUGGAAGAAUAUGAUAGGUGGGUAUAAGAAAUAGACAUCCUUUUAAUCUCUAUCCUAAAAGACAAGUGGAAUAUUACCCAGAAUUGCAGCAAGCAUACACACACAGUGUAUGUAACCUUGAGACAGAAAACAGAAAGUAUAUUGCAGAAAAAGAAAAUAAGAUGUGAGUAAAGAAUAAGGCAGUGAAACCAGAAAGUGAAUGAAUACUUCAGUGUAUGAUAGUAUAUGGAAAGUCUAAAAAGUGAGUUACAAAUACAUUGAAAUCCCCUAGUAUUUAUAUCAUUGAUUCAACUAACUUCUUAAUAAAAAUAGCAUAUCUAACUUAACUAACAAAACUGUCUGAUAAUCCAUUAACCAUACUGAUAUUUGAUCAUCGAGUCUAGCAGGGAGAAUUACAAUUUACUCAACUCCCUUAAUUCAAACUAGCCAGACUAAUAACUUCUAGCGUAUGCCACUACAAAAAAAUUAUCCUGUUAGCUAUGGUUAAAACCGUGGCUAUUUUACCAAAAAAUUGUGGCAAAAUACACCGGCCACAGUUUCCUCGACCCUAGCAAUCACUGGCGUUGCAAAAUUUUUAGCCACGAUCAGUGUACGAUAUAGCUACAUCUACAAGAAGUGUGGUAACAUUUCUUUAAUCACGGUUCAGCCGUUGCUAACGUGAACCACAUACCUCUCUUUAACUAUGCCUCAAAACUAACACUUCCAGUUAGCUUUAACAAUUUAGAACCAACACCAACAUGUAAAUAACAAUAUUUCAAAUCUUUCUAUGUGCCACAAUCAAGAAGACAAGAAACACUAAAUAUAAAGGAACUUAGAAAGAUCUUCAGUGUAACACUAGAACUCAAAAAACAACCACAUUGAGAUUAAUUUUAAAACAAUAAUGAUUACCUCAAUAUACUUCCAUUGUUGACAUAUAUU
rnacentral:lncRNA from 1 species